GAUGAACGCUGGCGGCGUGCCUAAUACAUGCAAGUCGAGCGAACAGACGAGGAGCUUGCUCCUCUGACGUUAGCGGCGGACGGGUGAGUAACACGUGGAUAACCUACCUAUAAGACUGGGAUAACUUCGGGAAACCGGAGCUAAUACCGGAUAAUAUAUUGAACCGCAUGGUUCAAUAGUGAAAGACGGUUUUGCUGUCACUUAUAGAUGGAUCCGCGCCGCAUUAGCUAGUUGGGAAGGUAACGGCUUACCAAGGCAACGAUGCGUAGCCGACCUGAGAGGGUGAUCGGCCAGACUGGAACUGAGACACGGUCCAGACUCCUACGGGAGGCCGCAGUAGGGAAUCUUCCGCAAUGGGCGAAAGCCUGACGGAGCAACGCCGCGUGAGUGAUGAAGGUCUUCGGAUCGUAAAACUCUGUUAUUAGGGAAGAACAAAUGUGUAAGUACCUAUGCACGUCUUGACGGUACCUAAUCAGAAAGCUACGGCUAACUACGUG
rnacentral:rRNA from 1 species